rnacentral:rRNA from 1 species
GUGUCAGCCGCCGCGGUAAUACGGAGGGUGCAAGCGUUAAUCGGAAUUACUGGGCGUAAAGCGCGCGUAGGCGGCUUGGUAAGUCGGAUGUGAAAGCCCUGGGCUCAACCUGGGAACUGCAUUCGAUACUGUCAAGCUAGAGUGUGGGAGAGGGUGGUGGAAUUCCCGGUGUAGCGGUGAAAUGCGUAGAUAUCGGGAGGAACAUCAGUGGCGAAGGCGACCGCCUGGCCCAACACUGACGCUGAGGUGCGAAAGCGUGGGUAGCAAACAGGAUUAGAAACCCGCGUAGUCC